GACAUCUUGAGUCAAUCAAAGUAAAUUGGGAAUAAGAUUAAACCAGUUACACGUUAACUUUCACACUUUGGACGAUUCUUUUUGUUUUGUUUUGUUUUUUGGUACCAGGGAUCGAACUUGGGUCCUUGCGCUUGCCAGGCAGGCAGUGAAACCACUGAACUAAAUCCCCGGGCCUUUGGACAAUUCUUAGAAAGUGGCUGGGACCCGAAAAAGAACACGGUCCCUUCGUCAUCCUUUCGGUGCACACAGGUGUGGAGACAAGGCAGAACUUGUCCCUGGGAUAAGCACCCUUUCGCUCUUCGAGGAGCUUCUCGAAUCAUCACAGUACAAAGGGGCGAAGCUGCAGCCCAGAGCAGUAGGAUCACAAGAUCUCCUGUCCCGUACCACAAGGCUGGGGCAGGGUGUCGGGCAUCCGUAUCAAUGCACAAAGCCAGGACAAAACCCGGGACCUUCCAGGUACGGUCGGGACCCCUCAUCCUUCUCCGUGCUUGCUGCCAGGGCUUGCCCUGAUUUUGAGAAUGCCAGGCACUCACCCCGGUUAAAUCCUUUCGCUACAUACACCCGUUUCUUCCUCAUUCUGCUCACCCUCCCAGUCACCAGGCUGUUUUGAUGUUGGACAGGUAAAACACUGAAUGACAGAGACCGCUGCCUCCCAAUCCCAGAGAGGCCCAGAAGUGAAGGCAAACAGUUGCCCUGACAGGAAUCUACCUCUUCUUAGGAAAGGGGCCUGGCUCUGUCUGGGACCCAGAAGAGGACCAUUGCAGUUUGGUUUUGUGGUGCUACUGGGAGGUGAUGAAACCUUUAGGAGGUGGAUCUUAGAGGGAGGACAUUAGGUCCCUUGAGGAUGUUGGGAUCCUGGCCUUUUACUCUUUCUUUGCUUCUCAGUUGCUGUAUAGUGCCACAAAAGGCCCGAAGCAAAUAGGCCAGUGACCAUGGACUGAAACUUCUGAAACUGUGAGUGAAAAGAAA
rnacentral:lncRNA from 1 species